rnacentral:tRNA from 1 species
GCCGGCUUAGCUCAUCAGGUAGAGCAGUUGAUUUGUAAUCAGAGGGUGGCGGGUUCGAGUCCUGCAGCCGGCA